CCUCAAAUCCGGUAGGACUACCCGCUGAACUUAAGCAUAUCAAUAA
rnacentral:rRNA from 1 species